AGCGAACGCUGGCGGCAGGCCUAACACAUGCAAGUCGAGCGGCCGUAGCAAUACGGCAGCGGCAGACGGGAGAGUAACACGUGGGAACGCGCCCUUCAGUUCGGAAUAACUCAGGGAAACUUGGGCUAAUACCGGAUACGCCCUCACGGGGAAAGAUUUAUUGCCGAAGGAACGGCCCGCGUCCGAUUAGCUUGUUGGCGAGGUAACGGCUCACCAAGGCAACGAUCGGUAGCUGGUCUGAGAGGAUGACCAGCCUCACUGGGACUGAGACACGGCCCAGACUCCUACGGGAGGCAGCAGUGGGGAAUAUUGGACAAUGGGCGCAAGCCUGAUCCAGCCAUGCCGCGUGGGUGAUGAAGGCCCUAGGGUUGUAAAGCCCUUUCGGCGGGGAAGAUAAUGACGGUACCCGCAGAAGAAGCCCCGGCUAACUUCGUGCCAGCAGCCGCGGUAAUAC
rnacentral:rRNA from 1 species